UAAGUCUGGAGACUGCUGGCCAUUCCAUGAUUUGAAGCCUGCCGUCUUGUUCUUUUCUUCUAAGAUAGUUCUGACAUAGCCUGGAGGUAUGUUUUGGGUCAUUAUCUUGCUGUAGGAUGAACCCCUGACCAACCAGGCGCAGACCAGAGGGUACUGCAUGGCACUGCAAAAUGCUGUGGUAGCCCUUUUGGUUCAGGGUGCCAGUCACUCUGUGCAAGUCACCGACUCUGGAUCCAGCAACAUCCCCAGACCAUCACGCUUCCUCCUCCAUGUUCCUCCACAGUCGGUGUCACACACUGAGGCACCAUCCUUUCACCUACUCGACGGUGUACAAAAACCCUGUGUGAUGAACCGAAGAUUUCAAAUUUUGAUUUAUCGUUCCAUAAGACCUUCUUCCAGUUUUCAGUAGUCCACUGCCUGGUGCUUCAUGGCCCAGGCAAGCCUCUUUUUUUUAUUUUGCCAUUUUAGCAAUGGCUUUCGUACUGCCACUCGACAUGUAAAACCUGCAGCUCAAAGUGUUCUCUUCACAGUUAAAACUGAGACUGUCAGGAUGCGUGGGGGGGUUCGGACCCAAGUGCAGAAGGAAAAACACAAAACUCCAAAAUGGAAGGAGAACAAAAGACUUUACUAACAAGGGGGAAACAAAGGGAACAAAAAGCCUCGCAGGGCGACCUUCAACAACGAAGGAAACUACAAAACGGAGGAACAAAGAAAAUGCAGAAAAUACAAACACGGGGAAACCAGAACAUGGGCAGGAACACUUGGAGCAGGUACAUGAAGAGGCUUUGCACAAACAACCAGACAUAACCACAAGGAUCCAGCACCUGAGUCAAGGGAGAGAGAAACUUAAAUAGAACAGACACUGACGAGACACAGGAGGGCACCAUGAACAAUCAGGCCACAGAGGGGGAAGGGAAAACGAGACAAUCAAGAACCAAUAAUAAGACAAUUGAAAACAAUCAUACAAUUAACACAGGGGGAGCAGGACACAAAACAGAAGUGCCGCCAUCUGGCGGCCCAACAGGGAAAACGCAGACAGGAACACAGGACCAUGACAGAGACUUGCUUACUUCAACCACUCUUAAGCUGUGCUUGAAGCUGUUGUCCUGUGAGCUGCCUAUCAUGCUGUUGGGUCUCAGAAACUUGUCUUCUGAUUCUGUUGUGGCUUUGGGUUUGCAUGACCUCUUCCUGUUUGAGUUUCCUCGAGUUUCAAAGUGCCUUUUGAUGGUGUAGGAUACUGUACUCACUGACACCUUGACUUUCUUCGCAAUUUCUCUAAAGGAAUUACCUACACUUUUAAGGGUUAUAAUGGUACGUAUGUCUUCCUUUGUUAAUAAUCUCCAUUAUGAUAGCAAUAUACUACUUCCUGCAGUGCAAUAUUUUCCAAAUAAUGCUUCAGAGUGUAAUAACACAGUCUGUUCCAACACUGAUUUUAUACAGUCAGAGGGUUUGUAAGUAAUCAACAAAAGUUGGGAUAUCUGUAGACAUCAAGGUUCAAGGCUUAAUUUACUUCCAUUGCUGCAGAAAAGCUGCAAGUUGUUAACCCAUUACUUGCUUCCUGAAAGAGGCCUUUUUAUAAUUCUGAAAUGUACAUUAUUUUUCGAUUUUUUUUGUAACCUAAACUUUUUUCCUCUGGCAGUUUACCGCUUACCUUUGUACCAUUUUAGGUCAUUCACUGGACUGCUUAAAUUUCAAUAAAACUGGAAAAAUGGGGGUGUUCUAAAACUUUUGACCGGUAGUAUAUGUGUGAAACAGUUCAAACAAUUCUUAUCAACACAUUGGCCAUUCAGUUGCUCUAUAGCUUGCCAGAGGAGAGAGUUUGACUGAGAACCAAAUCCUGCUGCCUAUUGUCUGGCGUGGGAUUUUUGUGAAAUAAAAUGGCAGAAACUGUUUUUCUUUACUGAUUCGAUUUUUUGUCAUUUCAAAAACACAGUAAUAGUUUAGCCCAAGUAUUGAGGAAAAAUCAUGGAAAGAAGAGGGUAGCUAUUGCAUUUACAGUGUUGGAAUCAUUUUAAUUUAAAAAAUCGAAUUGCCUUUAGCCUUUCUAGUGUUAAAAUAUUUGCUAUCCAAUGUAGUGACCUGUGAAUGAAGUUAUGUUUAUUGUUCUUCAGCAGUGCAACAGGAGGCAUUUAUUUCAUUGACAACAGACCAUUUAAUUUCGAACAAGAUUUGGCUAUCUUGCGUGAAAUUAAGAUUAAAUCACAUUAAGACUUAAGACACCUCUGUCAGAAUAACCAUUGAAUACAAAAUCUAACAACUAAUUUUUAUUUAAAAUAUUGUGGUGUCCGGUUUCACUUUCGCUCAUUUGUUGCUGCCGUUUCUUGUCUGCACACAUUUUUGCCGUUCUCCCUCAAAGAUCCCUCGAAGAACCAAAUUUCUACGCAUCAACAUAUUUAAAAAAUGAUAAUUUCAGUAAUAUAUUUUAUUUUAAUAUAUAAACAAUAUUUCAAUAAUUGUUUAUUUCCCCUAUUCGAUAAAGGAGGAUCUAGAUGCUGACUGGAGAGACACGACUACUGCCAUUUUAUCUUAUUUUGAUCUUUAUUGCAGACAUAGGGGAGAGUCCGUAGAAUGUAACAGUUUUUGGAUUUUGUUCAAUUACUCAGAAAAUAUUUAGUGUAGCACUAUGACAUUACAUUACAUUACAGGCAUUUGGCAGACGCUCUUAUCCAGCGCGACGUACAACAAAGUGUGUAACCAUAACCAGGAACAAGUAUGUCGAAAACCCUAGAGAGAAGUACCGGUCCAAGUGCAGGGAACAACCGCGUAGUUCAACUUGGACCCUGAAGGUUAAACUGAUUAACACUAACACAAACGAGAACAGCAACAACGCAGUCUGUGCAAAAAUACAAGCAGUAGUUAAGACAGGUGCAUUAACUAAGUCACCUAUGAAAUUUUACUUCAAACGGCUAUGAUAUAAAAUUUUUUCUACCAUUACUGUAAAUUACUGAACAUCAAAACUUAUAGCCUGUACUGUUAUAAGUUCUAUAAAAUGACAUGAGGACAAUGUAGUGACCUGUGAAUGAAGUUAUGUUCAUUGUUCUACAGCAUUGCAAAAGGAGGCAUUUAUCUCAUUGACAACAAACCAUGUCCUGGUCCAAGCAAUGGUUCUAUCCCGCCUGGACUACUGCAACUCUCUUCUGGCUGGACUACCGGCAUCUGCCACCAGACCCCUGCAGCUCAUUCAGAAUGCUGCGGCUCGUCUGGUCUUCAACCUCCCCAGACACUCCCACGUAACUCCCCUGCUCACUACCCUCCACUGGCUGCCUGUUAUAGCUCGCAUCAAAUUCAAAACAUUGGUCCUAGCAUACCAGGCAGUCAAGGGAUCAGCCCCAGCAUACCUUCACAAGAUAUUCAAACCCUACAUGCCAGCCAGAUCCCUCCGUUCUGCUACCUCAGGACGCCUAGCACCUCCCCCUCUUCGCACCUGCACUUCCAGAACACGUCUCCUGUCUGUUCUGGCCCCACAAUGGUGGAAUGACCUCCCUGUGGAGGUCAGAACAGCUGAGACUGUGACCCAUUUCAAACGACGACUGAAGACCCACCUCUUCAGGCUGCACCUCUCCCCAUCCCUCCCUUCCCCCCUGUAAAUGACUAAACUUAGGGUUGUAACUAGGCAGCUGUUUCAUAGGUGACUUAGUUGAUGCGCCUGUCUUAACGACUAAUUUUAUUUUUAUUUUUCCAUAGAUUGCGUUGUUGCCGUUCUCGUUGUUAGUGUUAAUCAGUUUAACCAUCAGGGUCCAAGUUGAACUAUGCGGUUGUUCCCUGCACUUGGACCGGUACUUCUCUCUAGGGUUUUCGUCAUACUUGUUCCUGGUUAUGGUUAUACACUUUGUUGUACGUCGCUCUGGAUAAGAGCGUCUGCCAAAUGCCUGUAGUGUAAUGUAAUGUCAUUUUGAACAAGAUUGGGCUAUCUUGCAUGAAAUAAAUGAAAAGUUAAAUUACACUGAACAAAAAUAGAAAUGCAACACUUAUCAAUUUCGAAGAUUUUAUUGAGUUGUAAGGUAAUAAAGGUAAAUCAGUCAACUGAAAUAAAUUCAGUAAGCACUUAUCUAUUGAUUUCAUGUGAUUGGGGAUACAGAUAUGCAUUUGUUAGUCACAGAUUCCCCAAAAAAGAAGAUACCAUGAAAUGAACAGAAUACCGAUCAGUAUCUUGUUUAGUUUAUUUGUUUAUUUGCACACAGUAAAAGAAAAAAAACAAAAAACGAAACAAAAUACAACAAAUAAAAAACCAGCAUUUGCCUCAUGCAACGCAUCACAUCUCUUUGCAUUGAAUUGAUCAAAUUGUUGAUUGUAGCCUGUGGAACAUUGUCCCACUCCUCUUCAAUAGCUGUACGAAGUUGUUGGAUAUUGAUGGGAACUGGAACACGCUGUCGUAUGCGCCGGUCCAGAGCAUCCCAAACAGGCUCAAUGGGUGACAUGGCUGGAUAUGCCUGCCCAUACCAACACCCCACCACCACGAGCCACUCUGCUCACAACGUUGACAUCAGCAAACCGCUCACCCACCCGACGUCGUACGCGCUGCCUGCCAUCUGCCCUGUACAGCUGAAACUGUGAUUCACCAAUGAAAAGGACCGUUCUCCAGCGUGCCUGUGGCCAUCGAAGUUGAGCUCUAGCUCUAAACCCUCACGUUGAUUGUGACGCCCAACUACAGACAAAUCAAGACCCCGUUGAGGACGUCGAGCAUGCAGAUGAGCUUCCCUUUCUCUGGUUGUGUAAACCAACUCUUUCAUCAGCUGUCUGUGUGGCUGGCCUCCGACGAUGCCCGCAGGUGAAGAAGUCGGAUGUGGCGGUCCUGGGCUGGCGUGGUUACACGUGGUCUGCGCUUGUGAGGGCUGUUGGACGAACUUCCAAAAUCUCUGAAACGACGCUGGAGGUGGCUUAUGGUGGAGAAAUGAACACCCAUUACUCUGGCAACAGCCCUACAGGACAUUCCUGCAGUCAGCAUGCCAAUUGCAUGAUCUCUUAACUCUUUAGGCAUCUGUGACAUGGUGUUGAACAACAAAAAACGCAGCAUUUUAGGGUGGCCUUUUAUUGACCCCAUCAUACUGACCUAAGCAAAAUGAAUUUCCCUUGUGGACAAUAAAGAAAUUUGUGGGAAAAAUUUGAAAGAAAUAAGAUCUUUGUGCACAUAGAACAAAUUUUUUAGGUAUUAUUUAAACCCAUAAAAAAUGGCUGU